AACGAACGCUGGCGGCAGGCUUAACACAUGCAAGUCGAACGCCCCGCAAGGGGAGUGGCAGACGGGUGAGUAACGCGUGGGAACAUACCCUUUUCUACGGAAUAGCUCUGGGAAACUGGAAUUAAUACCGUAUACGCCCUACGGGGGAAAGAUUUAUCGGGGAAGGAUUGGCCCGCGUUAGAUUAGCUAGUUGGUGGGGUAAAGGCCUACCAAGGCGACGAUCCAUAGCUGGUCUGAGAGGAUGAUCAGCCACAUUGGGACUGAGACACGGCCCAAACUCCUACGGGAGGCAGCAGUGGGGAAUAUUGGACAAUGGGCGCAAGCCUGAUCCAGCCAUGCCGCGUGAGUGAUGAAGGCCUUAGGGUUGUAAAGCUCUUUCACCGAUGAAGAUAAUGACGGUAGUCGGAGAAGAAGCCCCGGCUAACUUCGUG
rnacentral:rRNA from 1 species